rnacentral:rRNA from 1 species
GAGCGGAUGAAGGGAGCUUGCUCCUGGAUUCAGCGGCGGACGGGUGAGUAAUGCCUAGGAAUCUGCCUGGUAGUGGGGGAUAACGUCCGGAAACGGGCGCUAAUACCGCAUACGUCCUGAGGGAGAAAGUGGGGGAUCUUCGGACCUCACGCUAUCAGAUGAGCCUAGGUCGGAUUAGCUAGUUGGUGGGGUAAAGGCCUACCAAGGCGACGAUCCGUAACUGGUCUGAGAGGAUGAUCAGUCACACUGGAACUGAGACACGGUCCAGACUCCUACGGGAGGCAGCAGUGGGGAAUAUUGGACAAUGGGCGAAAGCCUGAUCCAGCCAUGCCGCGUGUGUGAAGAAGGUCUUCGGAUUGUAAAGCACUUUAAGUUGGGAGGAAGGGCAGUAAGUUAAUACCUUGCUGUUUUGACGUUACCAACAGAAUAAGCACCGGCUAACUUCGUGCCAGCAGCCGCGGUAAUACGAAGGGUGCAAGCGUUAAUCGGAAUUACUGGGCGUAAAGCGCGCGUAGGUGGUUCAGCAAGUUGGAUGUGAAAUCCCCGGGCUCAACCUGGGAACUGCAUCCAAAACUACUGAGCUAGAGUACGGUAGAGGGUGGUGGAAUUUCCUGUGUAGCGGUGAAAUGCGUAGAUAUAGGAAGGAACACCAGUGGCGAAGGCGACCACCUGGACUGAUACUGACACUGAGGUGCGAAAGCGUGGGGAGCAAAC